UACGAAGGGGGCUAGCGUUGCUCGGAAUCACUGGGCGUAAAGGGUGCGUAGGCUGGUCUUUCAGUCAGAGGUGAAAUCCUGGAGCUCAACUCCAGAACUGCCUUUGAUACUGAGGAUCUUGAGUUCGGGAGAGGUGAGUGGAACUGCGAGUGUAGAGGUGAAAUUCGUAGAUAUUCGCAAGAACACCAGUGGCGAAGGCGGCUCACUGGCCCGAUACUGACGCUGAGGCACGAAAGCGUGGGGAGCAAACAGG
rnacentral:rRNA from 1 species